AUGGUCGUGCCGGCCGGCGUGGCCUACAACGCGGCCAUCUCCCGCUGCUCCCGGGCCGGCCUGCACCCGCGCGCGCUCGCGCUGCUCCACGAGAUGCGCGCCCGGGGCCACCACGCCGACGAGUACACCCUGCCGCCCGCCCUCAACUCCGCCGCGCUCCUCCGGCUCCCCGCCGACGCGCUCCACUGCCUCCUCCUCCGCGCGGGCCUCGCCGCGCACCUCCACGUCGCCAACGCGCUCGUCGACGCCUACGCCAAGCUGUCCCGCCACGGCGCCGCGCGGGCCGUGUUCGACGAAAUGCCGCGCCGCGACGUGGUCACCUGGACCUCCCUCCUCACGGGGCUCGCGCGCUCCCGCUCCCACGACCCGGCCCUGCGGGUCUACCGCGACAUGGUCGCCGCGGGCGUCGGCCCGGACGAGUUCGCCGUCGCGGCCGCGCUGAGCUCGUGCGCCGGGGCGACGGCGCUCGAGCUGGGCCGGUCGGUGCACGCCGCCGCGAUCCGGCUCGCGCUCGACCCGUUCCUCUCCGUCGGGAACUCGCUGGUCUCCAUGUACGCCAAGACCGGCUCGCUCGGCGAGGCCAAGAGGGUCUUCGACGCGAUGCGGGUCCGGUGCGACCCCAUCACGUGGACGGCGCUGAUCGUCGGGUACGCGCAGAACGGCCGGGGCAGGGAGUCGCUGGAGAUCUACGCGGAGAUGGUCCGGUCCGGGUGCCGGCCGGACUACGUGACCUUCAUCGGCCUUCUCUUCGCGUGCAGCCACGCCGGCCUGGUCGACGCCGGCCGGGCGCACUUCCGGUCCAUGCAGGCCGACCACGGCAUCGCGCCCGGGCCGGACCACUACGCGUGCAUGGUGGACCUGCUCGGCCGCGCCGGGCGGCUCGACGAGGCCAUGGACCUGCUGAACCGGAGCACGACGAGGCUGGACGCCACGGUCUGGAAGGCGCUGCUGGCCGCGUGCCGGACGCACCGGAACGCCGAGCUCGCCGAGCACGCCGCCGGGAUGGUCUGGAGGCUCGACCCCACGGACGCCGUGCCGUACGUCAUGCUGUCGAACCUGUACUCGCGGGCGGGGAGGUGGGGCGACGUGGCGAGGGUCCGGACGUCGAUGAAGGCGAGAGGGAUCACCAAGGAGCCCGGCUGCAGCUGGGUGGCGGCGAACGGCGUGACGCACCUGUUCUACGUGGAGGACCGAGGCCACCCGCGGGCGGCCGAGAUCUACCGGAAGGUGGAGGAGAUGACGGAGAGGAUCCGCGGCCAAGGGUACGUGGCGGACACCGCCUGGGCGCUGCAGGACGAGGGGCCGGAGGGGAGGGAGAAGGGCCUGGCGCACCACAGCGAGAGGCUCGCCGUCGCGUUCGGGCUGCUCGCCGUGCCCGCCGGCGCGCCCAUCCGCGUGUUCAAGAACCUCCGGGUGUGCGGCGACUGCCACGCCGCGAUCAAGAUGGUCGCCCAGGCGUACGGCAGGGAGAUCGUGCUGAGGGACGCCAACUGCUUCCAUCACAUGAAGGAUGGCGCGUGCUCGUGCGGCGACUACUGGUAG
rnacentral:rRNA from 1 species